AUGACCAUGACACUGGUGCUGGUUUUGCUUUCCCUGCUGGAAGCCCCCCUGAGUGUCCUCUCUGCUGUGCAGCUGGUUGAGUCUGGCCCAGGGGUGGUGAAGCCUGCAGAGACUCUCACCCUGACCUGCACUGUCACAGGCUAUUCCAUCAGCAGUAGCGUCUAUUGGAGCUGGAUCCAGCAGCCUCCUGCGAAAGGGCUGGAGUGGAUGGGGUACAUAGUUGGAAGCAGUGGUGGCACAAGCUACAACCCAUCCUUCCAGAGCCGCAUCACCAUUUCCAAGGACAACUCCAAGAACCAGUUCUCCCUGCAGCUGCGCUCUCCGACAGCCGCAGACACCGCCACGUAUUACUGUGCAGAGACACAGUGA